rnacentral:rRNA from 1 species
UUCGGGGGACAAAGUGACAGGUGGUGCAUGGUUGUCGUCAGCUCGUGUCGUGAGAUGUUGGGUUAAGUCCCGCAACGAGCGCAACCCUUAAGCUUAGUUGCCAUCAUUAAGUUGGGCACUCUAGGUUGACUGCCGGUGACAAACCGGAGGAAGGUGGGGAUGACGUCAAAUCAUCAUGCCCCUUAUGAUUUGGGCUACACACGUGCUACAAUGGACAAUACAAAGGGCAGCUAAACCGCGAGGUCAUGCAAAUCCCAUAAAGUUGUUCUCAGUUCGGAUUGUAGUCUGCAACUCGACUACAUGAAGCUGGAAUCGCUAGUAAUCGUAGAUCAGCAUGCUACGGUGAAUACGUUCCCGGGUCUUGUACACACCGCCCGUCACACCACGAGAGUUUGUAACACCCGAAGCCGGUGGAGUAACCAUUUAUGGAGCUAGCCGUCGAAGGUGGGACAAAUGAUUGGGGUGAAGUCGUAACAAGGUAGCCGUAUCGGAAGGUGCGGCUGGAUCACCUC